GUCAGCCACGUUCUCAAAGCCGGCAUCCGGCAACGCGUGCUCCCAACCACCUAAGCAAGGCUGAGAAACCCACCUGACUCGCCCAAGGAAACUGAAGCCCAAGGCUGAAAGUGACCUGCCCGAGGUCCCCCAGAGGAAGAGAUAUUGAGAUCCAACUCCCCCACGAUGAUCACAGCACGCUCCCCGGUGCGCCCUGGCAGAUUCCAUCUGGGCACAUCCGCUGUACAGAAACAAGCCAGUGAAACGGUGAAGACCAUCAGAAGGCAUUGAGUGAACGUUCAAACACCAGAGGAGCCCAUUCAGAAAAGCCGCAGGCACCUCCGUGUACCAGCUCGACAGUGGAUCCUGGACAAUCCUGUUAACCUCCUUGUGUGCAAGACCACUAGGCCCAGCGCUCAGGUGACUGUUGGAGCUCUGGACACCUCACCAGCUCUAUGAGCCUCAGAAGACUGGAUCAUAGACCUGGACCCCUUCUUCACAGCCACCAUCUUCUCAGGAGAGAAAGAACUUCUCCCUAGUGGGCAGGCAGCUACCUGUCCAAUGGUAGGACUGCCCUUCUAGCCACCAGUACCUUUUCUGGGUCUAGCUCAGGCUCUCAGUUAAGGACAAAUGAAUGUAAGUUCUCUGUGUUGCUCUGCGCCUCUCUGUAUCCAUGCAAGGCUGCAACUGGGUAAUCCACCAGAGAAUUUCUGGAUCUCCCAACCUUUCCGGAAGAAGAGAAGUAGAGUAUAUACAAAGGUCCCAGAGAGGAUAAGAAUACUGUUCAGUUGGUAGAGUGCUGGUCUAGCAUGCAAAAAGCCCCAAGUUUGAUUCCCAGUAACUGUCAUGGUGGUGCAUGCCUGUUAUCCCAGCACUUAGGAGACUGAGGCAGGAGGGUUGUUCAAGACUAGCUAGCCUAUUCAGAGAGUGGGGAUUGGGGAUAGUGCAUGUCUUUAAUGCCAGCACUCGGGAGACAGAGGUAAGUGGAUUUCUGAGUUCAAGACCAGCCUGGUCUACAGAGCAAGUUCCAGGACAACCAAGGCUACACAGAGAGACUCUGUCU